GGGCGUCUAGCUCAGUUGGUAGAGCGCGUCAUUAGCACGGCUAAUGUUGACGAGGUCUUUGGUUCGAUUCCUAAGUCGUCCA
rfam:Trichosporon asahii var. asahii CBS 8904 unplaced genomic scaffold scaffold00105, whole genome shotgun sequence.